rnacentral:rRNA from 1 species
AGUGAACGCUGGCGGUAGGCCUAACACAUGCAAGUCGAACGGCAGCACAGGAGAGCUUGCUCUCUGGGUGGCGAGUGGCGGACGGGUGAGGAAUACAUCGGAAUCUACCUUUUCGUGGGGGAUAACGUAGGGAAACUUACGCUAAUACCGCAUACGACCUACGGGUGAAAGUGGGGGACCGCAAGGCCUCACGCGAUUAGAUGAGCCGAUGUCCGAUUAGCUAGUUGGGGGGGUAAUGGCCCACCAAGGCGACGAUCGGUAGCUGGUCUGAGAGGAUGAUCAGCCACACUGGAACUGAGACACGGUCCAGACUCCUACGGGAGGCAGCAGUGGGGAAUAUUGGACAAUGGGCGCAAGCCUGAUCCAGCCAUACCGCGUGGGUGAAGAAGGCCUGCGGGUUGUAAAGCCCUUUUGUUGGGAAAGAAAUCCUGUCGGUUAAUAACCGGUGGGGAUGACGGUACCCAAAGAAUAAGCACCGGCUAACUUCUUGCCAGCCGCCGCCGUAAAAC